rnacentral:misc_RNA from 1 species
GAUGAAGAACGUAGUGAAAUGCGAUAAGUAAUGUGAAUUGCAGAAUUCAGUGAAUCAUCGAGUCUUUGAACGCACAUUGCGCCCCCUGGUAUUCCGGGGGGCAUGCCUGUCCGAGCGUCAUUGCUGCCCUCAAGCACGGCUUGUGUGUUGGGCCCCCGUCCCCGGUUUCCCCCGGGGACGGGCCCGAAAGGCAGCGGCGGCACCGCGUCCGGUCCUCGAGCGUAUGGGGCUUUGUCACCCGCUCUGUAGGCCCGGCCGGCGCCAGCCGACACCCAACUUUAUUUCUAAGGUUGACCUCGGAUCAGGUAGGGAUACCCGCUGAACUUAAGCAUGUCAAUAAGCGGAGGA